GACGAACGCUGGCGGCGUGCUUAACACAUGCAAGUCGAACGGAAAGGCCCUGCUUGCAGGGUACUCGAGUGGCGAACGGGUGAGUAACACGUGGGUGAUCUGCCCUGCACUUCGGGAUAAGCCUGGGAAACUGGGUCUAAUACCGGAUAGGAGCCAUUUUUAGCGUGAUGGUUGGAAAGUUUUUUCGGUGUAGGAUGAGCUCGCGGCCUAUCAGCUUGUUGGUGGGGUAAUGGCCUACCAAGGCGGCGACGGGUAGCCGGCCUGAGAGGGUGGACGGCCACAGUGGGACUGAGAUACGGCCCAGACUCCUACGGGAGGCAGCAGUGGGGAAUAUUGCACAAUGGGCGCAAGCCUGAUGCAGCGACGCCGCGUGGGGGAUGACGGCCUUCGGGUUGUAAACUCCUUUCGCUAGGGACGAAGCUUUUUGUGACGGUACCUAGAUAAGAAGCACCGGCUAACUACGUG
rnacentral:rRNA from 1 species